rnacentral:sRNA from 1 species
AACAUGGUCUUUCUAGACACGUGUUAAAUUGUUGUUCAAUGUUUGUAUUAUUUAUUUUAUUUAAUCAGUCAUUUUCCACAUUGUCUUUCACUUAUUGCUGUAGGGUUUACUAUUACAUAUACACUGUAAGGCGAUUGCAUCUAUUUUGUUUGUGCCAGGAAUCUAGAAAUGGGGGAUGUUACAGAGAAAAAAAUGUGUGUAGCUUGUUGGAAAAGAUCAAUAAUUAUUUGAAUAGAUACAAGAUCUAAUUGUCUAGAUUUUUUCAUUUGAAGUGCAGUCAAAGUCAUAUGUUAUGAAUGGAGCAGAUUCAAUAGUGCUACACAUGUUUAUUACCCCAGAAUUUUGAUCAUAGUAUUCAGUAAUUUUUUUUUUCUUUUAAGAAAAAUGAAGUUAAAGACUUUCUAUACAUGGUCAUCAUUUUUUUAAACAUAUGCAAGAAUGGCAAAGCUGCUAAGAGAAAGACACAAUGAAUGAAUGAACACUGACGAUGAACGCUUUAUAGUAAGUCAUGGCAUCGAUGAAUGGUUUCUGAAUUUUAGUGACAUUGGAAAUCAAUAUUGCAAUGAAUGCAGUCAUAUGGACAUUCUUUCCAAUAAUUGUGCAAUAUAUUCAUUAUAGCCCCGAAUGUCCUAUAACUUUGUCUUCUAGAUAAUAAUGACAAUUGUCAGAAUACAAAUUUAACUCUUGUUGUGGAUAGAAAUCUGUAGGUUCUACAUGAUUAUAAUUUAGACAAGCAGAAUUAUGUAUGUAUACAUGUAUUUGAGUAAAUCAAAGAAUUCAUUCAAUUUCAUAUUAAAGCUCUGCAAGCUUGCUAAUGUCAUGAACAUGCAACAUUUGUUUAUGACAAUUAUUUGUAAUGUAAAUUAAUUUUCCCUUUGCUCUUCUGUACUUAUACAAGAUAAGACUAUGGUGUUAAUGGUACGAACAUUGUAUGUGUUCUUAUUGUCAAACCACUAUUUGUAAGUUUUUAAUGUGUGGGAAAAAAAUUCAUACUUUUCAUUACAUUCAUACUAAUGACACACUUGUUUAUAUUGAUGGUGGACAAGAUUCCAUACAAAAUAUUAUUCUGUCAUUAAAUACUCCUCAUUUAAUGUUGUGAAUAUUUCAAUUCAAUUAAAGUGGGAUACUUUU